rnacentral:tRNA from 2 species
GGGGGUGUAGCUCAGUGGGAGAGCGCGUGCUUCGCAUGUACGAGGCCCCGGGUUCAAUCCCCGGCACCUCCA